rnacentral:rRNA from 1 species
AUUGAACGCUAACGGCGUGCUUAACACAUGCAAGUCGAGCGGCAGCAUGAUCUGUAGCAAUACAGAUUGAUGGCGAGCGGCGGACGGGUGAGUAAUGCAUAGGAAUCUGCCUUGUAGUGGGGGAUAACCCGGGGAAACUCGGGCUAAUACCGCAUAGUCUCUACGGAGCAAAGUGGGGGAUCGUAAGACCUCACGCUAAAAGAUGAGCCUAUGUUGGAUUAGCUAGUUGGUGAGGUAAUGGCUCACCAAGGCGACGUUCCAUAGAUGGGCUGGGAGGAUGAGCAGCCACACGGAGACUGAGACACGGCCCAGACUCCUACGGGAGGAAGCAGUGGGGAAUAUUGGACAAUGGGCGAAAGCCUGAUCCAGCAACGCCGUGUGUGUGAAGAAGGCCUUCGGGUUGUAAAGCACUUUUAGUUGGGAAGAAAGGCUCAUGGGUAAUAUCCAUGAGUGCUGACGUUACCAACAGAAAAAGCACUGGCUAACUCUGUGCCAGCAGCCGCGGUAA